AUCGUUUCUUGGCCUUUUGGCUAAGAUCAAGUGUAGUGCAUCCUUGUUUUUAAGAAGUAUUUAUUCAAGCUUCCAAUCUUUUAGAUUAGAAAACUUGGAAGUGUUUUUUACACCCUCCCUAUUUUUUUAAUGAAGGCAUAGAUUU
ensembl:snRNA U2 U2 spliceosomal RNA